GAUGAACGCUGACAGAAUGCUUAACACAUGCAAGUCUACUUGAACUUCGGUUUGGGUGGCGGACGGGCGAGUAACGCGUAAAGAACUUGCCUCACAGUUAGGGACAACAUUUGGAAACGAAUGCUAAUACCUGAUAUUAUGAUUUUAGGGCAUCCUAGGAUUAUGAAAGCUAUAUGUGCUGUGAGAGAGCUUUGCGUCCCAUUAGCUAGUUGGAGAGGUAACGGCUCACCAAGGCGAUGAUGGGUAGCCGGCCUGAGAGGGUGAACGGCCACAAGGGGACUGAGACACGGCCCUUACUCCUACGGGAGGCAGCAGUGGGGAAUAUUGGACAAUGGACCAAAAGUCUGAUCCAGCAAUUCUGUGUGCACGAUGACGUUUUUCGGAAUGUAAAGUGCUUUCAGUUGGGAAGAAAAAAAUGACGGUACCAACAGAAGAAGUGACGGCUAAAUACGUG
rnacentral:rRNA from 1 species